rnacentral:rRNA from 1 species
GUUGAACGCUGGCGGCGUGCCUAAUACAUGCAAGUCGAGCGAACAGACGAGGAGCUUGCUCCUCUGACGUUAGCGGCGGACGGGUGAGUAACACGUGGAUAACUUAUCUAUAGGACUGUGAUAUCUUCGGGAAACCGGAGCUAAUACCGGAUAAUAUAGUGAGACGCAUGGUUCAAUAGUGAACGACGGUUUUGCUGUCACUUGUAGGUGGAUCCGCGCCGCAUUAGCUAGUUGGUAAGGUAACGGCUUACCAAGGCAACGAUGCGUAGCCGACCUGAGAGGGUGAUCGGCCACACUGGAACUGAGACACGGUCCAGACUCCUACGGGAGGCAGCAGUGGGGAAUUUUCCGCAAUGGGCGAAAGCCUGAUGGAGCAACGCCGCGUGAGUGAAGAAGGUCUUCGGAUCGUAAAGCACUGUUAUUCGGGAAGAACAAAUGUGUAAGUAAAUAUGCACGUGUUGACGGUACCUAAUGAGAAAGCAACGGCUAACUACGUG